GACGAACGCUGGCGGCGUGCUUAACACAUGCAAGUCGAGCGGUAAGGCCCUUCCGGGGGUACACGAGCGGCGAACGGGUGAGUAACACGUGGGUGACCUGCCCUCAGCUCUGGGAUAAGCCUGGGAAACUGGGUCUAAUACCGGAUAUGACUCCAUGACGCAUGUUGUGGGGUGGAAAGCCUUGUGCGGCUGAGGAUGGGCCCGCGGCCUAUCAGCUUGUUGGUGGGGUGAUGGCCUACCAAGGCGACGACGGGUAGCCGGCCUGAGAGGGCGACCGGCCACACUGGGACUGAGACACGGCCCAGACUCCUACGGGAGGCAGCAGUGGGGAAUCUUGCGCAAUGGGCGAAAGCCUGACGCAGCGACGCCGCGUGAGGGAUGACGGCCU
rnacentral:rRNA from 1 species